GGAGACGUGACAGAGCGGCCGAAUGUACUGGUCUUGAAAACCAGCGAUGGGAAACCAUCCGAGGGUUCAAAUCCCUCCGUCUCCGCUA
rnacentral:tRNA from 3 species